rnacentral:rRNA from 1 species
AUUGAACGCUGGCGGCAGGCCUAACACAUGCAAGUCGAGCGGAUGAAGGGAGCUUGCUCCUGGAUUCAGCGGCGGACGGGUGAGUAAUGCCUAGGAAUCUGCCUGGUAGUGGGGGAUAACGUCCGGAAACGGGCGCUAAUACCGCAUACGUCCUGAGGGAGAAAGUGGGGGAUCUUCGGACCUCACGCUAUCAGAUGAACCUAGGUCGGAUUAGCUAGUUGGUGGGGUAAAGGCCUACCAAGGCGACGAUCCGUAACUGGUCUGAGAGGAUGAUCAGUCACACUGGAACUGAGACACGGUCCAGACUCCUACGGGAGGCAGCAGUGGGGAAUAUUGGACGAUGGGCGAAAGCCUGAUCCAGCCAUGCCGCGUGUGUGAAGAAGGUCUUCGGAUUGUAAAGCACUUUAAGUUGGGAGGAAGGGCAGUAAGUUAAUACCUUGCUGUUUUGACGUUACCAACAGAAUAAGCACCGGCUAACUUCGUG